rnacentral:tRNA from 1 species
GGGGUUGUGGCUCAAUGUUAGAGUGUUUGCUUCGCAUGAAUGAGGCACUGGGUUUGAUUCCCAGCACCACA